GAUGAACGCUGGCGGCGUGCCUAAUACAUGCAAGUCGAGCGAACAGACGAGGAGCUUGCUCCUUCGACGUUAGCGGCGGACGGGCGAGUAACACGUAGGUAACCUACCUAUAAGACUGGGAUAACUUCGGGAAACCGGAGCUAAUACCGGAUAAUAUUUCGAACCGCAUGGUUCGAUAGUGAAAGAUGGCUUUGCUGUCACUUAUAGAUGGACCUGCGCCGUAUUAGCUAGUUGGUAAGGUAACGGCUUACCAAGGCAACGAUACGUAGCCGACCUGAGAGGGUGAUCGGCCACACUGGAACUGAGACACGGUCCAGACUCCUACGGGAGGCAGCAGUAGGGAAUCUUCCGCAAUGGGCGAAAGCCUGACGGAGCAACGCCGCGUGAGUGAUGAAGGUCUUCGGAUCGUAAAACUCUGUUAUUAGGGAAGAACAAACGUGUAAGUAACUGUGCACGUCUUGACGGUACCUAAUCAGAAAGCCACGGCUAACUACGUG
rnacentral:rRNA from 1 species